rnacentral:rRNA from 1 species
UACGGGGGGGGGCAAGCGUUGUUCGGAAUUACUGGGCGUAAAGGGCUCGUAGGCGGCCAACUAAGUCGGAUGUGAAAUCCCCAGGCUCAACCUGGGAACUGCAUCCGAUACUGGAUGGCUUGAAUUCGGGAGAGGGAUGCAGAAUUCCAGGUGUAGCGGUGAAAUGCGUAGACAUCUGGAGGAAUACCGGUGGCGAAGGCGGCAUCCUGGACCGACAUUGACGCUGAGGAGCGAAAGCCAGGGGAGCAAACGGG